rnacentral:tRNA from 2 species
GGAGAGAUGGCAGAGCGGUUGAAUGCGGCGGUCUUGAAAACCGUUGGGCGCGUGAGCGUCUCGAGGGUUCGAAUCCCUCUCUCUCCGCCA